UUGCAGCACAAACUUGGAGAGGACAAUGGUACUUUGAGAACAGAACUGGUGACAUUGCCUAUGAAGGGCACAUGUUUCCUUUGUUAGUAACAGAACGACUAGACUCUUGGCCCGAAAAAGAGAUUCACGAAAGAACUUGGUGUAAAUUGGCAAGAUGGCAUGUUGAGAACAAAGCGGGUGACACUGCCUAUGAAGGGCACAUGUUUCCGCUAUUUGUAACAGAACAAAUAGACUAUUGACUUGAGAACGAGAUUCACGAAAAAAUUUGGAUGAAUGUGCGUGAAGCAAGAAAAUUUUGCCCAAAUGGGGCCGUAGAACUAUUCGUAAGUCGCCUCACAUCACAAAGCAAACAGGCCAAAGGGGAUCUAUUUCCGUAAUCGAAUGUAGCUCCAGUGUUCUAGCAACUAUUCUUCCUUUAGGAUAUAGAGCUCAAAAGUUUUCUCUGCACUACCAAGUUCUACUGAGGAAGCAUAGUAUUUAUUGAUACCGAUCCACUGUCAAAUCUACAUGUGGUAGAAAUAGUUUGUUAGUAGUUCAGAGCAACUCCCGUGUGAAGGGAACAACCAAAAAGAAAAGUACUGGAAGUAUAAUCUUUGUUAUCUCAGAAUUGGAGUUGUGUGACAUAUUAGAGAAUCAGAGUUAUCAUAGAAGAUGAACAUGUACACAGCUAUCAGAAUCAUUGAUAUUGGAAAAUAACUGCAUCAAUUUAUUGGAUUUUGUCUU